GGCACAGUCCAGUGAAAAGUGUCAUUGAGUUACGAUCUCGGUCCCAAGAUCGCUGAGCCGCCACCGUUGGCGGCAUUGGCCGUUGCUUAAAGUUCAAUUAAAAGUAAUUAAAACUGCUACGAGUUCAAGUCACACCCAUGGAAAUCUAAAUACAACUAUACUAAGUACAACUUUAAAUGCACUGAGCAAUAGUACAAAACAAUCGUCAGAAAUAUUUAAAUGCUUCAAUAUUCUUCAUUCGAAUAUAAAAAGAAACCAGAAACUAAAAUGCAACUGGUAUUCGAGUUAGAUCAAUAAUCAAGAAACUCAAUUCCAAAAUAAACAUGCUUCGUCCAUAUAAACAAAAGUACAACAGGAACUAAAAUGCAACUGGUGUUCAAGUAAAUUAAGAAACGCAGUUACAAAAUACUAAAUGAUUGCCGUAUAAAUAAAUAAACAUAACAAGAAGACUUAAGUGACUGAAUACCAACAAGGAAAAGUCACGCGCUCAUAUAAAAGAAUUAAAAGAUUCAAUCAAACCCCAAAAAACUAAAAAAAAAAUUAAUCAUUUGAAUGAUACACAGUCCACUUCUGCAAUUUUGGUUAAAUUACUACAUUUAUCGCCUCAUAAAAUCUGGAAAUUUUCUUGAUCACAAUAAGAUAUCCAAAUGCAUACAAACUUUCACGAUGAUAGAGUUCCCAGGGAAACUUCAAAUACUACUUCAAAAUAAUCAAUUUACUUGAUAAUAUAAAUGAUGAUGAUGAUGAUCAACGCAACUAUCAACAAAAAAAUAUCUUCCAGUCUUAAGAACGAAGCUUAGUUGUAAAUUUAUUUGUGCCUUUUUAGUUUCCUAAUUUGUUUAUUUUCUGUUGUGUUCAUGUUUUUUGUUAAACAAAUUUAAAAGCUAUAAAUUUGUUGGUCUAACAAUAUCCUUGAAUAAGGUUUCCAUUUAAUUUAAUUAAUCAAAAGGAGAAUAUUUAGGAAAGCUUACUCAAUGUAUAUUGCCAAUAGCAAGGCGUGUUUUUGUUGCUAAAUGAUUAUUUAUGUAUACGCGAGGACCCUUGAGUUUUAAAUUUUCAUUUAAUUUAAAACACUUUUUAUUUCGGUUUUAUUUGUUUUCCGUUCAGUUGGUAUUUAAAUAUACCGUGUUUUGAUUUUUUAGAUUCAUGAUUUCGGAUUUGGUAAGUGUUUUCUUUUAUUAUUUAUAUAUUUUAUUAUUAUAAUUUGUGUUCAAGUAUUUUUUAAAUAUUCACUAAAUUAUUUCUGUUGUACUUUUUUUGAAUUUUUUUAUUUUAUCUUCAAUUUUUUGUUUUAUUUAUUCUUUUAAGUUAUUUUUUUUUAAUCAAGAAAUUACAUUUUUGUAAAUUAUUUUUGAUUUUAAUUUAUUUGUUUAUAUUUUCAAUAUUCGUUCGUUUAUUAUGCCUAUCUUUUUUUGUAUAUGUUGUUCCAAUUCCAUAUUAUUAUUCUUUUUUAAAUUCUUUGAAAUUUAAUCAUUUAUAUUUUGAUUGUUUUUAAAAAUGGUUGUUUUUUAUUUGUUUUAUAUUUUUCUUGGUUUAUUAUUUAAUACUGUUUACUAUUUCAGUUUGUUGACUUCAUUUAUGAUUUGACUUUUUGUAUUAUAUUUUUAGUUUUCAAUUCUUUUGUUAUUUAAAUUCUUUCAUAUUUAUUUAUUCUUUAAAUUCUUUAAAUAUUAAAUUAUUAUUGUGAGUUUUUUUCACUUCUUUUUAUCUCAAAUUUUUGAUUUUUAUUAUUUUAAUAAUAUAUAUUUAUAGAAUAUAUUUAAAUAUUUUUCAGUAUUUAUCAAUAGUUUCCUAUAAGUUUUGUAAUGUUUAUUUAUUUCUUCUAAAAAGUUUAUUUUUUGUGAUAAUUAGGUAUUUUUAUCUUUAAGCUUUCUAUAUUUUUAGUUGUUUUUUAAUAAAAUGUUAUUUUUGUUUUAUUAUUAUUUUUUAUUACUAUUACUUUAUUUUAGGUAGGUAUUUAUUUAGUAAUACAAAUUUUUUGUUCUGAUUUUGUUUAUUAUUUAAAAACAUAUAUUGAUUUUUGAAUCCUUUUUGUAUUUUAUAUUAUGUUAUUUUAUUUAUGUAAAUUAAUAUUUUUCUUUUUUUAAGCUUAAGCUUUUUCUUUUGGUUUUAUACUUUUGAUAAAUGAAUUUUCAAACGUUUGGCUUAUAUUUCAAGUGAUUUUAUUUUUAUUUAUUUUGAGACAUCAAUUUAUUAAUUUCUGAUUUAUCUAUCAAAAUCAUAUUUUCCUUUGGUUUCCUUAUUAAUAAAAGUCUUUAAUCAGAUUUUUUAAAUUUAUCAAUAUCAAUUUUUUUGUUUGUGUUAUUCGUUUGCCCAUUUUAUUCGUUUCUUUUUUUUUAAAUCAAGCUCUGGGUCUCUCAAAAAAAGUUACUUCAAAAAAAGAAAACCGAAUGUAGUAGCUCUAUAUGUAUUUCUUAAAACUUGAAAAAUAAAAUAAAAUGUUUCCAAUU
ensembl:ncRNA lncRNA:CR30009 long non-coding RNA:CR30009